AGUGAACGCCGGCGGUAGGCCUAACACAUGCAAGUCGAACGGCAGCACAGUAAGAGCUUGCUCUUACGGGUGGCGAGUGGCGGACGGGUGAGGAAUACAUCGGAAUCUACUUUUUCGUGGGGGAUAACGUAGGGAAACUUACGCUAAUACCGCAUACGACCUGCGGGUGAAAGCAGGGGAUCUUCGGACCUUGCGCGAUUGAAUGAGCCGAUGUCGGAUUAGCUAGUUGGCGGGGUAAAGGCCCACCAAGGCGACGAUCCGUAGCUGGUCUGAGAGGAUGAUCAGCCACACUGGAACUGAGACACGGUCCAGACUCCUACGGGAGGCAGCAGUGGGGAAUAUUGGACAAUGGGCGCAAGCCUGAUCCAGCCAUACCGCGUGGGUGAAGAAGGCCUUCGGGUUGUAAAGCCCUUUUGUUGGGAAAGAAAAGCAGCAGGUUAAUACCCCGCUGUUCUGACGGUACCCAAAGAAUAAGCACCGGCUAACUUCGUG
rnacentral:rRNA from 1 species